rfam:Salmo salar isolate Sally breed double haploid chromosome ssa09, whole genome shotgun sequence.
UGGCUCAGUUGGUAGAGCAUGGUGUUUGCAACGCCAGGGUUGUGGGUUCGAUUCCUAC